rnacentral:lncRNA from 1 species
UACAUAGGUCUCUUAGACAUCUUCUCAAGAUUAUGCUAAGAGAAAUGACUGCACCCUUUUCCUGAGCUAUGGCAGUCAGACCUGGCAGUGGUAACUACUCUACAGAACUCCCAAACCUGGCAAGGAUGGUGCAGAUUUUGGCAGAUUAUGGCUUUGUCCCCACCCAGCACUGAUGAUAUUAUAAAAGUCCAUUCUAAGUUUCUUACCAUGGAGCUUCAGUGCUCU